CGGGGCAUCAUAGCGGAGGUAAGAACCAACAGGGAUUGCCCUAGUAACGGCGAGUGAAGCGGCAACAGCUCAAAUUUGAAAUCUGGCUCUCGGGCCCGAGUUGUAAUUUGUAGAGGAUACUUUUGAUGCGGUGCCUUCCGAGUUCCCUGGAACGGGACGCCAUAGAGGGUGAGAGCCCCGUCUGGUUGGAUGCCAAAUCUCUGUAAAGUUCCUUCAACGAGUCGAGUAGUUUGGGAAUGCUGCUCUAAAUGGGAGGUAUAUGUCUUCUAAAGCUAAAUACCGGCCAGAGACCGAUAGCGCACAAGUAGAGUGAUCGAAAGAUGAAAAGCACUUUGAAAAGAGAGUUAAAAAGUACGUGAAAUUGUUGAAAGGGAAGCGUUUAUGACCAGACUUGGGCUUGGUUAAUCAUCUGGGGUUCUCCCCAGUGCACUUUUCCAGUCCAGGCCAGCAUCAGUUUUCCCCGGGGGAUAAAGGCGGCGGGAAUGUGGCUCUCUUCGGGGAGUGUUAUAGCCCACCGUGUAAUACCCUGGGGGGGACUGAGGUUCGCGCAUCUGCAAGGAUGCUGGCGUAAUGGUCAUCAACGACCCGUCUUGAAACACGGACCCCUGUGUGAAAUUGUAUUCCGCUCAA
rnacentral:rRNA from 1 species